AGUGAACGCUGGCGGUAGGCCUAACACAUGCAAGUCGAACGGCAGCACAGUAAUUUCUUGCUCUUACGUUUGGCGAGUGGCGUACGUGUCAUGAAUACAUCGGAUUCUUCUUUUUCUUGUGUGUUAACGUAGGUAAACUUACGCUAAUACCGCAUACGUCCUACGGCUGAAAUCAGUGGUUCUUCUCACCUUUCGCGUUUGUUUUAGCCGAUGUCGGUUUAGCUAGUUGGCGGGGUAAAGGCCCACCAAGGCGACGAUCCGUAGCUGGUCUGAGAGGAUGAUCAGCGACACUGGAAGUGAGACACGGACCAGAGGCCUACGGGAGGCAGCAGUGGGGAAUAUUGGACAAUGGGCGAAAGCAUGAUACAGCAAUAGCGAGUGGGUGAAGAAGGAGUUCGGGUUGUAAAGACAUGUUGUUGGGAAAGAAAAGAAGGAGGUUAAAAAAAAGAUGUAAUGACGGUAACCAAAGAAAAAGCACCGGCUAACUACGUG
rnacentral:rRNA from 1 species